rnacentral:rRNA from 1 species
UACGGAGGGGUGCAAGCGUUAUCCGGAUUUACUGGGUUUAAAGGGUGCGCAGGCGGAUAUGUAAGUCAGUGGUGAAAUCUUUGGGCUUAACCCGAAAAUUGACCAUUGAUACUAUAUAUCUUGAAUCUGUGGAGUAAGCGGAAUAAUGUCAUGUAGCGGUGAAAAUUGCUUAGAUAUGAACAUAGAACACCUAUUGCGAAAGGCAGCUUACUACGCAGAUAUUGACGCUCAUGCACGAAAGCGUGGGGAUCAAACAGGA